rnacentral:pre_miRNA from 1 species
UUCCUUACGUUCCCUUGUCAUUCUCGCGUCCGGUGUUUCCAUCUGACGACUGGACGGAGAACUGAUAAGGGCUUGUGGGGAG